rnacentral:rRNA from 1 species
UACGUAGGGGGCGAGCGUUGUCCGGAAUUACUGGGCGUAAAGAGAGCGUAGGCGGCACUACAUGUCUCAUGUGAAAUACCCGGGCUUAACUUGGGGGUUGCAUGGGAAACUGUAGAGCUUGAGUACAGGAGAGGCAAGCGGAAUUCCUAGUGUAGCGGUGAAAUGCAUAGAUAUUAGGAGGAACACCAGUGGCGAAGGCGGCUUGCUGGACUGAAACUGACGUUGAGGCUCGAAAGCGUGGGGAGCAAACAGG